GAUGAUUUUUCUAGGUGGACUUAGGUCCUAUUUCUAACUCAUAAGGAUGAGGCUUUUAACGCUUUUUGCGAACUCUUAAAAAGGAUAAAGAUUGAAAAAGAAUUUGAAAAUUAUAUCCAUGGAGGAGAAUUUGAAAGUGAGCUUUUGAAAAGCUUUUGCAAAAACUCUAGCAUUAAACACAAUUUUUCAACUCCUAAGACUCCG
rnacentral:lncRNA from 1 species